CCUCACCGCUGUCUCACUUCCUCCUCACCGCCCACCCUUUUCCCUUCAGCUAGCCAGCGAGCCACCCACUCAGCUCCCCUGUGCAGCCGCCGGCGCGUCAUGGCGCAUCCGCACACCGUGCGACGGUGCGUGGCACCCAUCCCGGCCCAACUUCCCAUCCCCCCCGCCUCCGAACCAUUCUACCGCCUGGCUGCGCCGUCGCGAGCCUCCUACAGUCCCCCCCCAUCACUCCCUGCUUUCCGACGAGAUCCGGGGGGCAGCGCCCUCUCGCGGACGCGCGCGCAGUCUGGGCGGCGGCAUCGACCGCGCAACGCCCCCUGCCCCGCGCCCCCCGCUGCGACGGCGACACGCCGGUCGGAAUCUUCUGGUGGCAACGCCCGGCAACUGGCGCGCGCCGUGCAGCGCGAGGAGACCCUGCAGCAAGCCGUGCUCGCCCAGAUGGGCGGAGAUCGAGCAGGAGUGGAUUCCGUGGUGCACCACGAAUCUUGCUUUGUCACGUUCGGCUCCCCUCUCUCCCUCCGCGUUCAGCAUUGGUAGCUUUGUUGGAUUGGCAACGCCGGUGAAGUUCGAUCUUGGAGCCUUUCCUAUUCAGAAAGGCAUGGCGUGAGCAUCAAUCAGAUCAAGCAAAUCUGUACGCCUCAAUCAGGCAAAGGCAGCAACAUGGCCAGGGAGAUAACAUGGAUAGGGAAGCUGACACAACUGAUGGCAUGACAGCGUUCCUCGGUGCAUCUUUGACCAAGUAUAGGACGAGCAAAUGUCACGGAAGGAAUGCUCAUGGUUUUUGAAGACUGACUAUGCUCCCUCGAGUACUGCGCAGCAACAAACUCAGAUGAAGUUAACGAAGGAGAAAAGGAAAGAGAACACUCAUCCAUACAUGAAAAACUGGAUAUGGAGCUGCAAGAUCUGAAAAAGGACUUCAGCAAAAGGAGGUUCAGCUUGAGGUGUAGGUGUUGCCAUUCUCUCGUAGCGGAGCGAAGAGCACAACCCUGACUGCACAACCCCUUCAAGGAUCACUGGUGAAUUUGUUCAAGUUUAUUUAUCUUCUGGGUCAUGUUCAUUUUUUAUCAUAGUAGGAUUCUGGGCCUGAGGGUAUCGUGAGUAUGAGCAUUUAUAAUGGAGUUGCACAAUUAUCUAUCUUCAGAAGUGGAAAUAUUAGUUAUGUGGUCAUGAAAAUAAGUAAUGAUACCCAUGUUCUAGACUAAACCAUGACGAUAAAUAUAUUACCCUGAAAUUUGAGUAUGAGUCGCCUCGAAUUUGUUUAAUUUUUAGGUAUAUAAGAUGAUACCUAUCGCAACACACUCAUGACCAAGUGUGGCGUACACAUUGCGAAUUACAUGAUGUUUUGUUCAAUACUCUAUGUCAGCAAAUUAUAUGAUGUAUUGAUCACUAUCCCGAUGUCAAAGAUUGUUCUGCAUGUCUCAGUUUGUAUUGGGCACCAAAUACAGAUUGGGGGAAUAAGUUGUUUGCAUUGGGUGUACUUGCUGGAAAGACAUCAGAACUUGCCUAUUAGUCCUUGAUUAUGAAACAUAUUAAUUCCCAGAACCUAAUGGGUGUAUUCUUCAUUGAAAUUUAUGAUUUUCAGGUAGCUGGUACAUAGCUUAAAAUCCUGCAUCGUUUAAGUAUCUUUGUAAUGUAGGUAAUUUGCUUUGACAUCAUGAAUGCAUGAAUGCAUUUUAUUUUUGUAGGAACCAGCUGAGGAUGGUAAACCUAGGGAACUAUGAAGAUGGUGGCAGGAGGAUGUACCUGCGGCGUCUGGAGAUGGGUGCAGCAACAGCCGGCGCGCGGAGGUGGCUGGUUCUGGCGGCCCUGUCGAGCAACACCAUGAGACGGGAGCAGAGGUGCUGGUUCCGGCGGCAGCAGAGGCUGCAGCAUGAGACGGGAGCAGAGGUUGCUGGUUCCGGCGACAACAGAGGCUGCAGCUCGCACAUCUGCCCUGAGACCGAUGUGGCCGGACUGGUUCCGGCGGAUGUGGCCGGACGGCGACUAUACGUCCAUCGAGAGGAGGAACUGGUGUUUCUGGCGACGUGCGUUCAGGGCUCGAUGGAGCUCUCACACUUUUUUUUUUCUGUUUUGGUUUGGCUCGGACGUUUUUUUCUUUGGUUUGGGCAUGGAGGUCUUUUUUGGUCAAUGCAUGGAGUGGACGUGGUUCGUGGAUUGAGUCGCAACUGUAAUUUUUCUCCUGCUGGUGCGUGAUCGUGGGCUGAGUUGGCGAUGGAUCUCGUUCAUGGGCCGAGUUAAUUAGUGACGGGAUGCGGUCGAGGGGUGGUGGGAUUGGUCGAACCAUCACGACGACUGCAGGUUGCGCUUUAAAAGUAGAGAUUGUUGUAUCUCCAUUUCCACGAGUUAUCUUCAUUUCUGUGAACAUUUCCACUUUGUCGUUAUUAGUUUAACAAUUAUCCGCUUUCUUAUGCA